rnacentral:rRNA from 1 species
UACAGAGGGUGCAAGCGUUGUUCGGAAUUACUGGGCGUAAAGCGCGUGUAGGCUGCAAUGUAAGUCGGAUGUGAAAGCCCCUUGGCUUAACCAAGGAAGUGCAUCUGAUACUGCAUCGCUUGAGUGUCGGAGGGGAUGGCGGAAUUCCCGGUGUAGAGGUGAAAUUCGUAGAUAGUCGGGAGGAACACCUGGUGGCGAAGGCGGCCAUCUGGACGAUUACUGACGCUGAGACGCGAAAGCGUGGGUAGCAAACAGG